GAUGAACGCUGGCGGCGUGCCUAAUACAUGCAAGUCGAGCGAACAGACGAGGAGCUUGCUCAUCUGACGUUAGCGGCGGACGGGUGAGUAACACGUGGAUAACCUACCUAUAAGACUGGGAUAACUUCGGGAAACCGGAGCUAAUACCGGAUAAUAUAUUGAAAAGCAUGGUUCAAUAGUGAAAGACGGUUUUGCUGUCACUUAUAGAUGGAUCCGCGCCGCAUUAGCUAGUUGGUAAGGUAACGGCUUACCAAGGCGACGAUGCGUAGCCGACCUGAGAGAGUGAUCGGCCACGCUGGAACUGAGACACGGUCCAGACUCCUACGGGAGGCAGGAGUAGGGAAUCUUCCGCUAUGGGCGAAAGCCUGACGGAUCAACGCCGCGUGAUUGAUGAAGGUCUUCGGAUCGUAAAACUCUGUUAUUAGGGAAGAACAAAUGUGUAAGUAACUAUUCACGUCUUGACGGUACCUAAUCAGAAAGCCACGGCUAACUACGUG
rnacentral:rRNA from 1 species